GGAGACGUGGCUGAGUGGUCGAAGGCACCUCACUGCUAACGAGGCGGGCCCUUAAAAGCCCCCAGGGUUCGAAUCCCUGCGUCUCCG
rnacentral:tRNA from 1 species